UGAGGAAUAUUCCACAAUGGGCGCAAGCCUGAUGGAGCGACGCCGCGUGAAGGAAGAAGGCCUUCGGGUUGUAAACUUCUUUUUUUGAGGAUGACACACAGGGGUAACCCUGUUAGGACAGUACUCAAAGAAUAAGCAUCGGCUAACUACGUGCCAGCAGCCGCGGUAAUACGUAGGAUGCUAGCGUUGUCCGGAUUUACUGGGCGUAAAGCGCGCGCAGGCGGCACCCUAAGUACGAUGUGAAAUCUCAGUGCUCAACGCUGAGGGUGCAUUGUAAACUGAGGAGCUAGAGGACGGUAGAGGGGGGUAGAAUUGCUGGUGUAGCGGUGAAAUGCGUAGAGAUCAGCAGGAAUACCCGUGGCGAAGGCGGCCCCCUGGGCCGAACCUGACGCUGAGGCGCGAAGGCUAGGGGAGCGAACGGGAUUAGAUACCCCCGUAGUCC
rnacentral:rRNA from 1 species